rnacentral:hammerhead_ribozyme from 1 species
AUCUAGCUUGGACGAGUCCCAAAUAGGACGAAAUGCGCAUCCUGGAU